rnacentral:rRNA from 1 species
UACGGGGGGGGCAAGCGUUGUUCGGAAUUACUGGGCGUAAAGGGCUCGUAGGUGGCCAACUAAGUCAGACGUGAAAUCCCUCGGCUUAACCGGGGAACUGCGUCUGAUACUGGAUGGCUAGAGGUUGGGAGAGGGAUGCGGAAUUCCAGGUGUAGCGGUGAAAUGCGUAGAUAUCUGGAGGAACACCGGUGGCGAAGGCGGCAUCCUGGACCAAUUCUGACGCUGAUGAGCGAAAGCCAGGGGAGCAAACAGG